ACCGCUUCUCUACCUUUUGGCUAAGAUCAAAGUGUAGUAUCUGUUCUUAUCAGCUAUCACGUCACUUGAGCUCACGUGACGUGAGGGCAGUUAUUAUGAACGAAAUAACCUACU
rnacentral:snRNA from 1 species